AUUGAACGCUGGCGGCAUGCUUUACACAUGCAAGUCGAACGGCAGCGCGGGCUUCGGCCUGGCGGCGAGUGGCGAACGGGUGAGUAAUACAUCGGAACGUGCCCAGUAGUGGGGGAUAGCUCGGCGAAAGCCGGAUUAAUACCGCAUACGACCUGAGGGUGAAAGCGGGGGAUCUUCGGACCUCGCGCUAUUGGAGCGGCCGAUGGCAGAUUAGCUAGUUGGUGGGGUAAAGGCCUACCAAGGCGACGAUCUGUAGCUGGUCUGAGAGGACGACCAGCCACACUGGGACUGAGACACGGCCCAGACUCCUACGGGAGGCAGCAGUGGGGAAUUUUGGACAAUGGGCGAAAGCCUGAUCCAGCAAUGCCGGGUGUGUGAUGAAGGCCUUCGGGUUGUAAAGCACUUUUGGCGGGAACGAAAAGGACUGUGCCAAUACCACGGUUCGAUGACGGUACCCGCAGAAUAAGCACCGGCUAACUACGUG
rnacentral:rRNA from 1 species